GAUGAAGAACGCAGCAAAAUGCGAUAAGUAAUGUGAAUUGCAGAAUUCAGUGAAUCAUCGAAUCUUUGAACGCACAUUGCGCCCGCUGGUAUUCCGGCGGGCAUGCCUGUUCGAGCGUCAUUUCAACCCUCAAGCCCCCGGGUUUGGUGUUGGGGAUCGGCUCUGCCUUCUGGCGGUGCCGCCCCCGAAAUACAUUGGCGGUCUCGCUGCAGCCUCCAUUGCGUAGUAGCUAACACCUCGCAACUGGAACGCGGCGCGGCCAUGCCGUAAAACCCCAACUUCUGAAUGUUGACCUCGGAUCAGGUAGGAAUACCCGCUGAACUUAAGCCUAUCAAUAAGCGGAGGA
rnacentral:misc_RNA from 1 species